rnacentral:misc_RNA from 1 species
GGCUAUUUACUCUUUUUUCUUCAAAAUCUUAAACUGCAUGGGCCUAUCAUCUCUUUGCCUGAUUCUCAGAAAGGUAAAUAAAGUCUUCAGAAACAAGAAGCUCAAUUCAUUUACUUUGUCCAAGGCAUCUUUUAGCAUGGAAGGUUGCUUGCUACCGAUUGUUGGUAUGGUAGAGGUUGUUACACCAAAGAUAAAAUGGAAAAUGAUCUAGUUAGUUACCCAGGUCAUUUGGAGUGAGCCCUAUUUAAAUCAGGUGCCUUGUACUUGAGCUUCUUGUUUCUGAAGACUUUAUU